rnacentral:rRNA from 1 species
AGCGAACGCUGGCGGCAGGCCUAACACAUGCAAGUCGAACGGACCCUUCGGGGUUAGUGGCGGACGGGUGAGUAACACGUGGGAACGUGCCUUUAGGUUCGGAAUAGCUCCUGGAAACGGGUGGUAAUGCCGAAUGUGCCCUUCGGGGGAAAGAUUUAUCGCCUUUAGAGCGGCCCGCGUCUGAUUAGCUAGUUGGUGAGGUAACGGCUCACCAAGGCGACGAUCAGUAGCUGGUCUGAGAGGAUGACCAGCCACACUGGGACUGAGACACGGCCCAGACUCCUACGGGAGGCAGCAGUGGGGAAUUUUGGACAAUGGGCGCAAGCCUGAUCCAGCCAUGCCGCGUGCAGGAUGAAGGCCUUCGGGUUGUAAACUGCUUUUGUACGGAACGAAAAGGUGCCUUCUAAUAAAGGGCGCUCAUGACGGUACCGUAAGAAUAAGCACCGGCUAACUACGUG